rnacentral:rRNA from 1 species
CCUACGGGAUGCAGCAGUGAGGAAUAUUGGUCAAUGGUCGGGAGACUGAACCAGCCAAGCCGCGUGAGGGAGGAAGGUACAGAGUAUCGUAAACCUCUUUUGUCAGGGAACAAAGGCGGGGACGUGUCCCCGGAUGAGUGUACCUGAAGAAAAAGCAUAGGCUAACUCCGUGCCAGCAGCCGCGGUAAUACGGAGGAUGCGAGCGUUAUCCGGAUUUAUGGGGUUUAAAGGGUGCGCAGGCGGUCUGUUAAGUCAGCGGUCAAAGCCCGGGGCUCAACCCCGGCCCGCCGUUGAAACUGGCAGUCUCGAGUUGGAGAGAAGUAUGCGGAAUGCGCGGUGUAGCGGUGAAAUGCAUAGAUAUCGCGCAGAACUCCGAUUGCGAAGGCAGCAUGCCGGCUCCACACUGACGCUGAGGCACGAAAGCGUGGGUAUCGAACAGGAUUAGAUACCCCUGUAGUC